GACGAACGCUGGCGGCGUGCUUAACACAUGCAAGUCGAACGGAAAGGCCCUGCUUUUGUGGGGUGCUCGAGUGGCGAACGGGUGAGUAACACGUGAGUAACCUGCCCUUGACUUUGGGAUAACUUCAGGAAACUGGGGCUAAUACCGGAUAGGAGCUCCUGCUGCAUGGUGGGGGUUGGAAAGUUUCGGCGGUUGGGGAUGGACUCGCGGCUUAUCAGCUUGUUGGUGGGGUAGUGGCUUACCAAGGCUUUGACUGGUAGCCGGCCUGAGAGGGUGACCGGCCACAUUGGGACUGAGAUACGACCCAGACUCCUACGGGAGGCAGCAGUGGGGAAUAUUGCACAAUGGGCGGAAGCCUGAUGCAGCAACGCCGCGUGCGGGAUGACGGCCUUCGGGUUGUAAACCGCUUUCGCCUGUGACGAAGCGUGAGUGACGGUAAUGGGUAAAGAAGCACCGGCUAACUACGUG
rnacentral:rRNA from 1 species